rnacentral:rRNA from 1 species
ACGCUCGACACCUACGGGAGGCAGCAGUUGGGAAUAUUGGACAAUGGAGGAAACUCUGAUCCAGUGACGCCGCGUGAAGGAAGAAGGUCUUCGGAUUGUAAACUUAUUUUGUCAGGGAAGAAAAAAUGACUGUACCUGAAGAAAAAGCACCGGCUAACUACGUGCCUGCAGCCGCGGUAAUCUGAGCGGGCUGGCAAGGC